UACGAAGGGGGCUAGCGUUGUUCGGAAUUACUGGGCGUAAAGGGCGCGUAGGCGGUACUUCAAGUCAGGCGUGAAAGCCCCGGGCUCAACCUGGGAACCGCGCUUGAGACUGGAGAACUAGAGUUCGGGAGAGGAUGGUGGAAUUCCCAGUGUAGAGGUGAAAUUCGUAGUAUUGGGAAGAACACCGAUGGCGAAGGCAGCCAUCUGGACCGACACUGACGCUGAGGCGCGAAAGCGUGGGGAGCAAACAGG
rnacentral:rRNA from 1 species